AGCAGCCGCGGUAAUUCCAGCUCCAAUAGCGUAUAUUAAAGUUGUUGCAGUUAAUAAGCUCGUAGUUGAAUUUCGGGGUCAGUAGGUCGGUCGUGCCACUGGCAUGAACUGGUCUCACUGAUUCCUCCCUCUUGUAGAACCGUGAUGCCAUCAAUUUGGUGUUGCGGGGAAUCAGGACUGUUACUUUGAAAAAAUUAGAGUGUUUAAAGCAGGCAAGCGCUUGAAUACAUUAGCAUGGAAUAAUGAAAUAGGACGUUUGAUCCUAUUUUGUUGGUUUCUAGGAUUGACGUAAUGAUUAAUAGGGAUAGUUGGGGGCAUUAGUAUUCAAUUGUCAGAGGUGAAAUUCUUGGAUUUAUUGAAGACUAACUACUGCGAAAGCAUUUGCCAAGGAUGUUUUCAUUAAUCAAGAACGAAAGUUAGGGGAUCGAAGACGAUCAGAUACCGUCGUAGUCUUAACCAUAAACUAUGCCGACUAGGGAUCGGAUGAUGUUAAUUUUUUAAUGACUA
rnacentral:rRNA from 1 species